AUUGAACGCUGGCGGAAUGCUUUACACAUGCAAGUCGAACGGCAGCACGGACUUCGGUCUGGUGGCGAGUGGCGAACGGGUGAGUAAUGUAUCGGAACGUGCCCAGUCGUGGGGGAUAACGUAGUGAAAAUUACGCUAAUACCGCAUACGAUCUAUGGAUGAAAGCGGGGGAUCGCAAGACCUCGCGCGAUUGGAGCGGCCGAUAUCAGAUUAGGUAGUUGGUGGGGUAAAGGCCCACCAAGCCAACGAUCUGUAGCUGGUCUGAGAGGACGACCAGCCAACCGGGAACUGGGACACGGUACAGACGCCUACGGGAGGCAGCAGUGGGGAAGUUUGGACAAUGGGCGAAAGCCUGAUCCAGCCAUUCCGCGUGCAGGAUGAAGGCCCUCGGGUUGUAAACUGCUUUUGUACAGAACGAAAAGGUUUCUACUAAUACUAGGAGCUCAUGACGGUACUGUAAGAAUAAGCACCGGCUAACUACGUGCCAGCAGCCGCCGUAA
rnacentral:rRNA from 1 species